AAGAAAUUUCUUGGUGUCUUGGACCAGUCUAGAGUCACUCUCAAGUUAUGCAUAUCAAUAUAUUUGCUGGCACAAUUGUGUCCUACAGUCCUUAUGCUAACUUCUCCUAAGUGGAUGUCCCUCUCCCAGACACCAGCACAAAGUAAACUGGCUGCAGGAUGCAUGCUUGGAGUAGGCUGGGUUUUAGAACAGUGGGAGGGAAAUGAUAAAACAGUCUAGUCCUGAAUUACUGCAGCCAUUAAGUUUACCAAGGAAGAGACACCUGUUUUCCUUGCUGCCCAACGCAGUUCUUUGAAAGAGCCGGUGAACUGAGAGUUCCACUUUCUCCCUGAAGAAUAAAGCUGUAGACCUCACAUAGCCAGGGUGUUAACAAUGAACUUCAUAGAUACAGAGAACAAAUUGGUGCCUGCUGGAGGUGAGGUUAAGGGGUGGGAGAAAUGGGUGAACUGCAUUUUGUUUGUUUUGGUCUAAAAAAAAAAGAUUUUAAAAUUCCAAAAUUAAAAAAAAGAAAGAGUCAAUGCGCUUCACUACAGGUUUUAUUAAGGGGUAAGAAUGCACUGUAUCUGGGUAGCUGAUGAGGGGUAGAAUUGGUUGGGAGUGGAGUGAAGACAGGGAAGUGAGACAUUUCACUGAUGUUAAUUGUUUUCUAGGAUUACUCCGCAUCGAGUACUAGAAGGAUGUUUGUCUUAUCACUAUAUCCCCAGUGCCUGACAUAAUAUGACUGUUAUCACUUCUGUUUUACACAAAAGAAAUUGGAAGCACCGGGAAGCUUAGUGACCUGCCUGAUGUCCCAGAGCUAUUAAUGGUCACAACUUUGGCAAUUGUCUCUUCUUAUGUCAUGGUUCUGGGAAACAAGAAGAUUGCUCAGCCUUACUCCAAGGUAAGCUACCAUCCAAAGUCUUCCUUAGGUUACAGAUUUUCGUUUCAUUCUGUAUCAAAUUCAGUUAAGUUGCUCAGUUGUGUCCGACUCUGUGACCCCAUGGACUGCAGCACACCGGGCUUG